rnacentral:rRNA from 1 species
GAUGAACGCUGGCGGCGUGCCUAAUACAUGCAAGUCGAGCGAACAGACGAGGAGCUUGCUCCUUUGACGUUAGCGGCGGACGGGUGAGUAACACGUAGGUAACCUACCUAUAAGACUGGGAUAACUUCGGGAAACCGGAGCUAAUACCGGAUAAUAUUUCGAACCGCAUGGUUCGAUAGUGAAAGAUGGCUUUGCUAUCACUUAUAGAUGGACCUGCGCCGUAUUAGCUAGUUGGUAAGGUAACGGCUUACCAAGGCAACGAUACGUAGCCGACCUGAGAGGAUGAUCGGCCACACUGGAACUGAGACACGGUCCAGACUCCUACGGGAGGCAGCAGUAGGGAAUCUUCCGCAAUGGGCGAAAGCCUGACGGAGCAACGCCGCGUGAGUGAUGAAGGUCUUCGGAUCGUAAAGCUCUGUUAUUAGGGAAGAACAAACGUGUAAGUAACUGUGCACGUCUUGACGGUACCUAAUCAGAAAGCCACGGCUAACUACGUG